GACGAACGCUGGCGGCGUGCUUAACACAUGCAAGUCGAACGGCAAGGCCCUGCUUUUUUGGGGUGCUCGAGUGGCGAUCGCGUGCGUAUCACGUGUGUAACCUGCCCUUGACUUUCGGAUAACUUCAUGUAACUGUGGCUAAUACCGUAUCGCAUCUCCUGCUGCAUGGUGUGGGUUGGAUCUUUUCGGCGGUUGGGGAUGGACUCGCGGCUUAUCAGCUUGUUGGUGGGGUAGUGGCUUACCAAGGCUUUGACGGGUAGCAGGCAUGAGAGGGUGACCGGCGACAAGGGGACUGAGAGACGGAGCAGAGGGCUACGGGAGGCAGCAGGGGGGAAGAUGGCACAAUGGGAGGAAGCCGGAGGCAGAAACGCCGCGGGCGGGAAGACGGCCUGCGGGGUGUAAAAAGAAGGAGGCUGAGACGAAGCGGGAGUGACGGUAAUGGGUAAAGAAGCACCGGCUAACUACGUG
rnacentral:rRNA from 1 species